GGAGACCGCCGAGAUGGAUGGCGAUAAAGUCAGGGAAGGUCCAGGACUUUCCGGGCAGGCAGGGAGUUGGGCCCGAAAACCCAACAAAAGGAGCAGCCGCCGCAAGCAACCGCAAGGGGGAGAAGCUGGAAAACCCACGGAGCCCAGCAGGACUUGUUUUCUUUUUUGUCAUGUUACAAUUCUGCAGCGACAGCAGUAAAAAAUAAUGCCCCCCCCCGCCCCCAAGGCAACCGCAACUUGUGCAACAUCAUAAACCCAUUUGCGUUUUUAAUUAGUAACAUCGCAACUUGGCGGACUGAAGCGGCCGGGGGCGGAAAGCAAAUGACCAUGCACAAAAUGUUGCACUGAAACAGAUAGCCAGUCCUGGCUCCAUAAAACCGAAAAAAGAGCUGAAAAAGUGGAGCAAAUAAGUGCGAACCCAACUAGCCGGUGGUCAGUUCAUCCCCAUUGCCGUCAUAAAAGAGUCCGCCAACAAAGUUGAAAAGCUCAGCUCAAGUGGAGCAGCCUCCAGUCGGGAAUGGUUUCGGUUUUCGGACCCGCUGAUGGUCUCCGGUUUCCAGCUGCUCACUUUUUGUUUUUUAAUUUUUUAGCCCCUAUAUGGGGCAACGACCGAGGGUCACUGCGACUGACCAGUGGAGAGGAUUCCUUUGGGGAGGUGCUGACAAGUGUCCUUCAAGUGGGAGGGAUAACCCGCAGGAACGGCCUCGCUAAUUAAAGAGGGGUUCGACAAAAAGGAUUUGACGUCGAGAACGAAGAGAGCUACCUGUCUUAGGAAUCAGGAAGUGUUUUCGAUUGUCAGUCUAUCAAAAAAUACAUUUACAUACCCUUUAAUAUGAAACAUUUAAGAGCUUUUGCAUUUAAACUGGCGCAAAAAGA